UCGAGAAUCAUUCGCAAUGGGCGAAAGCCUGACGAUGCGACGCCGUGUGAACGAAGAAGGCCUUAGGGUUGUAAAGUUCUUUCGCUUGGGAACAAGAGAUGCAGAUUAAUAACCUGCAAAUUUGAGGGUACCAAGUAAAGAAGCACCGGCUAACUCCGUGCCAGCAGCUGCGGUAAUACGGAGGGUGCAAGCAUUAAUCGGAUUUACUGGGCGUAAAGAGCGCGUAGGCCGGAUUGAAAGUUAGAUGUGAAAGCCCAGGGCUCAACCCUGGAAUUGCAUCUAAAACUUCAUUCCUUGAGGAUAGACGGAGAAGACAGAAUUCCACGUGUAGCGGUGAAAUGCGUAGAUAU
rnacentral:rRNA from 1 species